AGAGUUUGAUCCUGGCUCAGGAUGAACGCUAGCUACAGGCUUACACAUGCAAGUCGCGGGGCAGCAUGAAUUUAGCUUGCUAAAUUUGAUGGCGACCGGCGCACGGGUGAGUAACGCGUAUCCAACCUUCCCCUGUCCACGGGAUAGCCCGUCGAAAGGCGGAUUAAUACCGUAUGAGGUCACAUGACGGCAUCAGAGUGUGACGAAAGGUUUGGCGGACAGGGAUGGGGAUGCGUCCGAUUAGCUUGUUGGCGGGGUAACGGCCCACCAAGGCAACGAUCGGUAGGGGUUCUGAGAGGAAGGUCCCCCACAUUGGAACUGAGACACGGUCCAAACUCCUACGGGAGGCAGCAGUGAGGAAUAUUGGUCAAUGGGCGAGAGCCUGAACCAGCCAAGUAGCGUGCAGGAUGACGGCCCUAUGGGUUGUAAACUGCUUUUAUGCGGGGAUAACGUGCACCACGUGUGGUGUAUUGCAGGUACCGCAUGAAUAAGGACCGGCUAAUUCCGUGCCAGCAGCCGCGGUAAUACGGAAGGUCCGGGCGUUAUCCGGAUUUAUUGGGUUUAAAGGGAGCGUAGGCCGCUGUUUAAGCGUGUUGUGAAGAACCGGGGCUCAACUCCGGUCGUGCAGCGCGAACUGGACGGCUUGAGUGCGCGGUAAGUGGGCGGAAUUUGUGGUGUAGCGGUGAAAUGCUUAGAUAUCACGAAGAACUCCGAUUGCGAAGGCAGCUCACUGUAGCGCAACUGACGCUGAAGCUCGAAAGUGCGGGUAUCGAACAGGAUUAGAUACCCUGGUAGUCCGCACGGUAAACGAUGGAUGCCCGCUGUUCCGACUAUUAGUUGGAGUGGCCAAGCGA
rnacentral:rRNA from 1 species